AUUGAACGCUGGCGGCAGGCCUAACACAUGCAAGUCGAGCGAGCGGCGGACGGGGGAGUAAUAUCAGGGAAAAUGCCUGAUGGGGGAGGAUGACUAAGGGAAACGGAAGCUAAUACCGCAUACCAUCAGAAGGGCCCAGAUGGGAGUAGCUAGAGGGUGGGGUAACGGCUCACCUAGGCGACGAUCCCUAGAUGGUCUGAGAGGAUGACCAGCCACACUGGAACUGAGACACGGCCCAGACUCCUACGGGAGGCAGCAGUGGGGAAUAUUGCACAAUGGGCGCAAGCCUGCUGCAGCCAUGCCGCGUGUGUGAAGAAGGCCUUCGGGUUGUAAAGCACUUUCAGCGGGGAGGCGUUACCCGCAGAAGAAGCACCGGCUAACUCCGUGCCAGCAGCCGCGGUAAUAC
rnacentral:rRNA from 1 species